rfam:Alligator sinensis unplaced genomic scaffold scaffold428_1, whole genome shotgun sequence
UUGCCUCUACAUCCUUAUUUUUCCCUUUUUAUUCCAUAGUUUCUUCACUUACCUGGUGAGGCAUGACAUGGUAGAAGAGAGGCCCAAGGACCUAUUGCUUAUGGGUCCAACUAUCCAGCAUAUGCUAGGUGUGACCUGCAACAGGGACCAUAGUGGGAGGGUGGUACAUCUCUUCAACUAUGCAGGCGUCCUAAAGCAGGGAGGACAGACACCUUCCAUAGAGCAGAAAGACAAAAGUUGGCUUUAUUUUGAUUUUCAGUAUGAAUGCAGGUGAUCUAAGUGGGGCCUCACAAUCCUUCUGAUCUGAGGAUUCUAAACAGAUGUCAGAAGA